GGAGAGGUGCCGGAGCCUGGCUUAACGGGCCUGACUCGAAAUCAGGUGUCCCAUUUUCGGGACCGGGGGUUCGAAUCCCUCCCUCUCCG
rnacentral:tRNA from 1 species